rnacentral:snoRNA from 15 species
CGCAAGCCUGUUGGGCGUGAUUUAUGCUUGUCAUAGUUACUCUGAGA